CUUUAGUGAGCAAACCAAGGAUCAGACUGUCCGUGUUUUACUAUGAACAAAGCUGUCACUGAGCUUCAUCGGUGAAGGUUAAUUGUCCCCUGAGAUUAUCAGAGACAGGUGGCUAGUUGGAAAAGAAUAAGAAGAAAAUAUUUGCAUGAGCUGCCUCAAUGAGCAAGAGAAAGAGAAGAGAUUUCAGAGUGAUGAAGACCCCCAACCUUUUUCUUCACAUUUUGACAAUGCCGACAAACAACACAACACUGACAAUGAACAUGGGAUACUUAUUUCUUGCAGUAACCACUUGGGUGGUCAAUUGUGCAGCACAUCCUAUCUUGAUCCAGCCUUCCUCACUGUCUGCGUCACUAGGAGAAACUGUCCGUCUGUCCUGCAUGCUGAAUUUGAACUACUGCAUUGGUAAUAGA